UACGUAGGGACCGAGCGUUGUCCGGAAUCAUUGGGCGUAAAGAGCGUGUAGGCGGUUAUUUAAGUCCUGCGUGAAAUCCUGCGGCUCAACCGCAGACGGUCGUGGGAAACUGGAUGGCUAGAGUGCGGGAGAGGAGAGUGGAAUUCCCGGUGUAGCGGUGAAAUGCGCAGAUAUCAGGAAGAACACCCGUGGCGAAAGCGGCUCUCUGGAACGGUACUGACGCUGAGACGCGAAAGCGUGGGGAGCGAACAGG
rnacentral:rRNA from 1 species